rnacentral:rRNA from 1 species
UACGUAGGGUGCGAGCGUUAAUCGGAAUUACUGGGCGUAAAGCGUGCGCAGGCGGUUUUGUAAGCCAGAUGUGAAAUCCCCCGGGCUUAACCUGGGAAUGGCAUUUGGGACUGCAAGGCUUGAGUGCGGCAGAGGAGACUGGAAUUCCUGGUGUAGCAGUGAAAUGCGUAGAUAUCAGGAGGAACACCGAUGGCGAAGGCAGGUCUCUGGGCUGACACUGACGCUCAUGCACGAAAGCGUGGG